UCGAGAAUUUUUCACAAUGGGCACAAGCCUGAUGGAGCGACGCCGCGUGGGGGAUGAAUGGCUUCGGCCCGUAAACCCCUGUCAUUUGCGAUCAAACCUUGCUAUUUAAAAGAUGGCGAGCUGAUAGUAGCGAAAGAGGAAGGGACGGCUAACUCUGUGCCAGCAGCCGCGGUAAUACAGAGGUCCCAAGCGUUGUUCGGAUUCACUGGGCGUAAAGGGUGCGUAGGUGGUGGGGUAAGUCGGAUGUGAAAUCUCGGAGCUCAACUCCGAAAUGGCAUUGGAAACUACCCUGCUAGAGGGUCGGGGGGGGGACUGGAAUUCUCGGUGUAGCAGUGAAAUGCGUAGAUAUCGAGAGGAACACCAGUGGCGAAGGCGAGUCCCUGGACGACUCCUGACACUGAGGCACGAAAGCUAGGGGAGCAAACA
rnacentral:rRNA from 1 species